CAACUUCCAACUUUGUCCGACAUUUGAAGUUGCAUAAAGAACGGUCUUCCUCCAUCUGCUCAGCCUUCAGCACAGCUUCAUGCAGAACACGCAGCAGCAUAUGUCUGUGUUUGGACUGGAGAGCUGAGCUGAGAUCAUUAGGUCCACCUUUCAUCUGGUCCUUUGAUGAGCCUGCUAUCUUUGAGCUGUGGAUUAAAAGGUGGAUAGCACACAAACUUUCUAUGCAAAAAAAAUUGAUUAGGAUAUACCAACAAGUGCCCUCCAUAAGCGCAGAGCCUAAAAAUGUUUUCAGUGGAAAAGGAUUUAUUUCAGACGAUAUGCUUUACAACGUUUUGCGGUGCAGCAGGAGGAAAUCACAGCAGGUCUACACACCAGCGGGACAAGCUCAGAGUUUGGAAAUCCCUCCCAGGUAGUUCAUCACACGAGCAAUAGUAGCAGUAAUGACAACCCCUAUUAAUUCAUAAUUCACUUUUAUUGAAUUCAGCGUCAAAUAUAGAUGACAUCGAAAAGUUUCCAUCUUUGUCAAAUGUAUCAGAACAAGCAGCAUCAGGAGGCUUUGGCACUUUUAGUGCAAUAGAAAAAAGCCGCAUUCACAGCUCUGCGUAGUGCUAAGCUGACCUCAUGAACACUGCAAACACAGUGCUCAAAAUACUUAAAAGAACACUGAAAAUACAUCAGAUCUCAGUGGCUGAAUUCAAAGACGCCCUCUGUAGGUCGAUUUCAUUAAACCAGCUCGUAACACAGUAGUGUGUAUGCCCCCCACGUGCUUCUCUGCAUGUCUGACAACACUGGUCCAUGCUCCUAAAGAAGAGCAGAUAGUCCUGCAUGACAUUCUCCACGGCUUCUCCGGACUGUGAGUAACACAGGCCAGGUCGGGUGGCUGCCAUUGGGCUCCACUGGCACCACCAGGCAGUGAGCAGUGGGCACACUAGAGGACGUCCGGCCUUUACAUCAGUGAGCUGCUGAUCUUCCUUCUUGCACAAAGGAGCAGAUACCGGUCCUCCUGGUGGGUUAAGGACCUUCCACAGCUCUGUCCAUCUCUG